rnacentral:rRNA from 1 species
UACGGAGGGGGCUAGCGUUGUUCGGAAUUACUGGGCGUAAAGCGCACGUAGGCGGCUUUGUAAGUUAGAGGUGAAAGCCCGGGGCUCAACUCCGGAAUUACCUUUAAGACUGCAUCGCUAGAAUUGUGGAGAGGUAAGUGGAAUUCCGAGUGUAGAGGUGAAAUUCGUAGAUAUUCGGAAGAACACCAGUGGCGAAGGCGACUUACUGGACACAUAUUGACGCUGAGAUGCGAAAGCGUGGGGAGCAAACAGG